CAGAGUUCGGUAAAUGCAAAAGGCUUAAGCCCUUUACCCAGAGGUUCAAAUCCUCUCCCUAGCC
rnacentral:tRNA from 1 species